CUUAAUUAUCCAUCAUCUGCUUUGGCUUGUCCCUUGGCCACUAAUAAACUGAAAGGGAACACUUGAAAAAUGACAUCCUGGGCUGGGCACGAUGUCUCACGCUUGUAAUCCCAGCGCUUUGUGAGGCCAAGGGAGAAGAGAAGCUGAGAGUAGAACUGGCUCCUUCCUCCAAUCUCAGGGAAGAAACAACACACUUGGAGACACAAUUUUUUUUAAUGUAAAAUAACAUUGAGAGUUCAUCUAAACAUCUGUCUUAGAAAUUCAGGUCAAGGGAAGAGAUGCUGUUAGAACAGAGGCAAGUGGGUGACCUCUCCAAAGAUGGACGUGCUCCAACAGAGGGCUAGGGUGUUCCCGCGAUAGCCAAACCUUCCAUUGAACCCAUUGACCGGUUUCAGAUCGGUAUUGUAGUUGUCAUGACCAGUCACCUGCUGGAGAGGAUGCCCUUGGAGGCAAGGAGAGAGAAGCCUGAGCCUGCAUUCAGUCCAUCUCUUGGCUUCCCCAUUCCCCUGGGUGUGGUAAGGGAUGCCAAUCAGUGGUAGUCACCGAAUUCCCCAUGCGCACAGCCAACAUGCAAUCCUCAAAUGUCCUGAACCUCUGAGCUGAAGAACCAAGGGCUGGUGAGGUUGAGGGACAGAAGGCUUCCUAGAAAUAAAACGCCGCACCAGGAAUAAUUGUAUGAAGACCGUGAAUGGUUUGUGCUGGGACA
rnacentral:lncRNA from 1 species